GGAUCAGCUUCAAGAAUGUUGAUGUAGCUUCAGAAUCUGCAAACUGCAUGGCUCCAAACUGAGGUCCAUACUGCCUUAAAAAGUCUACUGCUGCAUCUUGGCUGAAAAUUUCUACUGCUCGCCCUACGUGCAUUUUUUCAAAAUUUGUUGGAUAGACAUGCUUAUAAGAGAGAGAGCGUACUGGUUUCACAACACGAUCUUUCUGCAAAUUAUAUAAUUCCCGAAUGUACCAACCUGUUAUUGGCUGACCAUUGUUACAUAAAGCUUUUACUUUUUAAAACAAGAAGUUUCAGAAGUUUUUUAGGAUAUGACAGGUAUCAUAUGAUAAGAACAGAGGUCGAUUAAUGUCACAGAUAUGGGGAAUUAUAGGCUUAACAGGACUACCACCAGACAAGAUACGGAACAGGGCAACAUUUGUUUUAUGGUUAUCAGCUACAACAUGAAUUAUCACAAAAGAGGCGGCUUCAAUUUUUCUUAUUACAUUUACAGUAAGCUCAUACAGUUCUUCACCCUUAAGGGUGAAGAAGACCAUUUAAGACCAUUUGUGAAAUAAUAGGCCACAUACCAUAAGACCAUUUGUGAAAUAAUAGGCCACAGGAAUUCUAAAAUGUGUAGUAAUGCCAACAAACACAAAUCACAAGAGAUUGGUGGCUAGUCUUUGUUCUAUUCCACUUUGCUUGUCAGUUUUGGUAGAAAUAUUGCCAACUACUUCAUCACCAUGUUUAUUAUAUAAAACAGACGGCUUUAUUGACAUCUCAUCAAAUAUCAAAGAUCCACAUUUUUCCAUCCCUUUGGUGUUUUGGCCCUCCUCACACAACCUCUGCCAAAUUAAACUUGAAACUGUUUCACCAGUUAUAGAACCUAUAUAUCUUUUCAAAGUUGUCCUCAAUGGCAGAGUAAGCAGCUUAUAUUGCACCUGAAUAAGAUUGUAUCCUGCAGGAGACUUGCUGCCACAGUAUAGAAAAUUUGAUAGUAUUGUCAUUGUAGUGUGGUUUUUUUUGGCCAAAGAUCCUCAAUUGUUCUACUAAAAACUCUGCUUUUGCAACACCUCUAAUACUUUCACUUUCCAAUUUAUCAAUAUUAUAUUUAUUUAUCUUGUAGCUGCUUGAUCAUCUGC
rnacentral:lncRNA from 1 species